UACACUCCUACGGGAGGCAGCAGUGGGGAAUAUUGGACAAUGGGCGCAAGCCUGAUCCAGCCAUGCCGCGUGAGUGAUGAAGGCCCUAGGGUUGUAAAGCUCUUUCACCGGUGAAGAUAAUGACGGUAACCGGAGAAGAAGCCCCGGCUAACUUCGUGCCAGCAGCCGCGGUAAUACGAAGGGGGCUAGCGUUGUUCGGAUUUACUGGGCGUAAAGCGCACGUAGGCGGACUAUUAAGUCAGGGGUGAAAUCCCGGGGCUCAACCCCGGAACUGCCUUUGAUACUGGUAGUCUUGAGUUCGAGAGAGGUGAGUGGAAUUCCGAGUGUAGAGGUGAAAUUCGUAGAUAUUCGGAGGAACACCAGUGGCGAAGGCGGCUCACUGGCUCGAUACUGACGCUGAGGUGCGAAAGCGUGGGGAGCAAACAGGAUUAGAAACCCCUGUAGUCCCAUGAU
rnacentral:rRNA from 1 species